GAUGAAAGACGUGAUAAGCUGCGAAAAGCCACGGGGAGGUGCACAUAACCUUUGAUCCGUGGAUGUCUGAAUGGGGAAACCCGGUACGGAAAACCCGUAUCAACCAUAGCCCAAUACAUAAGCUAUGGUGGGGAACCGCCUGAACUGAAACAUCUAAGUAGGGCGAGGAAGAGAAAACAACAUGUGAUUUUGUGAGUAGCGGCGAGCGAAAGCGAAAGAGGGCAAACCGGUGUGCGUGCAUGCCGGGGUUCGGACUGCAUAAUUGAUUCAACGAUUCUAGCAGAACGGUUUUGGGAAAGCCGGCCAGAGAGGGUGAAAGCCCCGUAAGCGAAAGGAAAGUUGACAUGGCAGUAUCCAGAGUACAUCGAGACACGUGAAACCUUGAUGGAACGCGCGGGGACCACCCCGUAACCCUAAAUACUCCUUAGUGACCGAUAGCGCAUAGUACUGUGAAGGAAAGGUGAAAAGGACCCCGGGAGGGGAGUGAAAGAGAACCUGAAACCCUGUGUUUACAAGCUGUGGAAGAUCCUUAUGAGAUCAACCGCGUACUUUUUGUAGAACGGUCCGGCGAGUUACGCUUACUGGCGAGGUUAAGCACUUAAGGUGUGGAGCCGAAGGGAAACCAAGUCUUAAUAGGGCGACUAGUCAGUAGGAGUAGACCCGAAACCGGGUGAUCUAUCCAUGGUCAGGUUGAAGCUGCCGUAAGAGGUAGUGGAGGACCGAAGCCACAUCCGUUGAAAAGGGUGGGCAUGAACUGUGGAUAGGGGAGAAAUUCCAAUCGAACCCGGAGAUAGCUGGUUCUCCUCGAAAUAGCUUUAGGGCUAGCCUCGGUUUAGUCUGGUGGAGGUAGAGCACUGAAUUUCUGCGGGGGCGUCAAAGCUUACCAAGGGAUAUCAAACUCCGAAUGCCAUACAGAUGAUGACCGGGAGUCAGACUACACGAGAUAAGUUGGGUAGUCAAAAGGGAAACAGCCCAGACCUACAGCUAAGGUCCCAAAGUACGUGUUAAGUGGAAAAGGAUGUGGGAAUUCGAAGACAACUAGGAUGUUGGCUCAGAAGCAGCCAUUCAUUCAAAGAGUGCGUAACAGCUCACUAGUCGAGAGUUCCUGCGCCGAAAAUGUCCGGGGCUAAAACACGACACCGAAGCUUAGGAAUUAC
rnacentral:rRNA from 1 species